UACGUAGGGGGCAAGCGUUGUCCGGAUUUAUUGGGCGUAAAGCGCUCGCAGGUGGUUCGUUGCGUCGUGCGUGAAAGACCCCGGCUCAACUGGGGAGGGUCGUGCGAUACGGGCGAACUGGAGGCCAGUAGGGGGAUGCGGAAUUCCUGGUGUAGCGGUGAAAUGCGCAGAUAUCAGGAGGAACACCGGUGGCGAAGGCGGGUCUCUGGGCCGAUACUGACGCUGAGGAGCGAAAGCGUGGGGAGCGAACAGG
rnacentral:rRNA from 1 species